CUUACGGGUUGGGCUACACACGUGCUACAAUGGCAGUGACAAUGGGUUAAUCCCAAAAAAACUGUCUCAGUUCGGAUUGGGGUCUGCAACUCGACCCCAUGAAGUCGGAAUCGCUAGUAAUCGCGUAACAGCAUGACGCGGUGAAUACGUUCCCGGGCCUUGUACACACCGCCCGUCACACCAUGGGGAUUGGUUCUACCCGACGACGCUGCGCUAACCUUCGGGGGGCAGGCGGCCACGGUAGGAUCAGCGACUGGGGGUGAAGUCGUAACAGGUAGCCGUAGGGGAACCUGCGGCUGGAUCACCUCCUUUCAAGGAUGAUGCUAGC
rnacentral:rRNA from 1 species